UGCUCUGAUACUGGCCCGGGAUCCAGUUACAGACCCAAGCUGCCUACAUAUUAGAUGACAGUUGGGUCGAGAUGAGGUUCUUGUAAAGCUGCCUGAGCCAGAAGCUUGCAAUGCUGGGGAGGCUGAAUUAGCUUGUUUCACUAAAUUCCAACCCUUAAAUCACAGCAGCCUUUCAGGCUAGAGAGGCUGAGACUGCUGCUGCUGGGAGCUUUGUGUUGGAGACAGGUGCUGAGUGCUGCUGAGUGUUGCUGCGUGUGUGGGCCCCAGAGGCCUGGUUCAACAUUCCCCUGAAGGUUUGAUAGACAUAGUCCUUCUGGGAGGAAGAGGAGUGGAGGAAAUGCAGCAUCGGUCCACGCAGAUGAACAACCAAAGGGCUGUUGCUACUGCCGCCCAGCGAGCAGCUUUUUCCUGCUGCAGACAGACGACUCAGAGGCUGGGGAAUCAGUAAAGACACAACCCAGCCCGUCUCAGCACAGCUCGCCACAGCCUGGCUCAGACACUCGAAGACGUUUGGGAGGGGAUACACUGCAACGCAUUCACCCACGCACACACGCACCAGGCUCUGACACACACUCCUCCUCGCUCACUCUCUCUCUC